CGCAUCUGUGCAUGCAGCAUAUCAAUAAGCGGAGGAAAAGAAACUAACAAGGAUUCCCCUAGUAACGGCGAGUGAAGCGGGAAGAGCUCAAAUUUGAAAUCUUAAAGGGUUUCCCUUUACGAAUUGUAGUUUAAAGAAGUGUUUUCUGUUGAGGUUUUGGUAAAAGUUCUUUGGAAUAGGACAUCAUAGAGGGUGAGAAUCCCGUAUUUGACCUUUACUUUCAACUUUGUGAUACACUUUCAAAGAGUCGGAUUGUUUGGGAAUGCAGUCCAAAAUGGGUGGUAAAUUUCAUCUAAAGCUAAAUAUUGGCGAGAGACCGAUAGCGAACAAGUACCGUGAGGGAAAGAUGAAAAGAACUUUGAGAAGAGAGUUAAACAGUACGUGAAAUUGUCAAAAGGGAAGCGUUUGACACCAGUGUUGUUUUUCUGAAAAUCAAUUAAAGAACUGUUUAUGCUAAGCUGUUUAGACUUUAUCAGCUAUCUGUUUAGUUUUGAGCUUUUCUUUAAUGCACUUUUCAGUUAACAAGUCAACAUCAAUUUCUUUUGCUGUAAAAAAGCUUGAGGAAGGUGGCUUGAGAUUCGUCUUAAGUGUUUAUAGCCUCUUGCCUAUGCAGUCGGAGAGAUUGAGGUCUGCAGCGUAGAUCCUUCGGGGCUAAAUGCAUUUGUGCUAAGUUAUAGCAUUUUAUAGACAACUUGUUGACUAUGAUUUGUCUUGUAGCUUACUCGCUUAUGUUAUUUUACCUACGCUUAGGAUGUUGAAUCUGUGCGAGACUAC
rnacentral:rRNA from 1 species